UACGUAGGGGGCAAGCGUUGUCCGGAUUUAUUGGGCGUAAAGAGCGUGUAGGCGGCCAAACAGGUCAGCUGUGAAAACUCGAGGUCUCAACCUCGAGACGUCGGUUGAAACCGUUUGGGCUAGAGUCCGGAAGAGGAGAGUGGAAUUCCCGGUGUAGCGGUGAAAUGCGGCAGAUAUCGGGAAGAACACCCGUGGCGAAGG
rnacentral:rRNA from 1 species